ACAAAAACAAGUUUGUGUGAUAAAUAAUGGGUGGAUAUACAAUUAAUAUAAAGAUAAAAACAUAAUGGGUUUAUAUUUAAGUAGAUUAGUACAAGAGACAGGAGGUUUUAGGUCUGUUCACUACAGGAAUGGAUGUACAUGUAUAUACAAGCAUACAUUUAAAUGAUAAUGACAUGUCAACAUCAAAAAUUGUAUCGUCAUGAUAAUAACAAUAAAUGUGUAGCAUAUAAAAACAAAGGCAUUAUUGGCAGGGAAAUGUUAAUGUUAUUCAUGAUUGGUGUCAUCGUGUAUAGAUAAACUCAACUGUCUUCUUCACCAACUUGACCUCCUCUAUAUCUCAUUUCAAGAUGGCUUGUGAUUGCUCUGACAAAUUUAUCUCUUGUUUCAGAUCUUUUUUAUAUGUAUUGUUCUACAUCCUAUCCUUUUUUACUUGCCAAUAUGUACCAGAUGUCAAAAUUGAAGAUGAAGAUGAAAAGAAACGUUGUAAAGUUUGCUGCUCAAUCUUAGUCAUAUUAUAUAUGGCCGCAUUCACUAUUCUUUGUGGACUUUUUAUUAAUAUUUUUCCAACUGUUUUAUUUAUAAGUGAUUGGUAUCACUGUCCUAUAAAUUAUUAUAAUAUUUGCUAUACACUUCAAUUUCAUAGCAGUAAUCCAAACAGCUCUAAAGUACCUGAAAUUGUAUUAAGAUCAAAAGAUGAUCAUGAUGGUGAUUAUCUUGAUAGAGAAGACACACGUACAGCAGUCCAGCCAUUCAAUGAUCUAGCAAAGUUCACAUUACUUUCCAUUUGUUUCUCCACCUUUGUGUCUUACUUCAUCUUCAUCAUUGCACUGAUAAGGCA
rnacentral:misc_RNA from 1 species